GCAGAUUUCAUACUUACCUCGUAUAAUUAAAAUAAUUAUCUACUUUUAUUAGUUAUCAGGACUCACAUACAUUGUUAAAUUUUUUUUAACAGAAUAUAAU